AAUUGAUACCUUCACUUUUAGAGCACUGACGAUCACUCCCCAUGAAGAGCACAGGCGAUGGAUGACGAUGUGGAGAGACUUGCGGUGACUAGCAGAGACUCACGACAAAGGCUUCUUCUUCCCCAAAUUGAAACAGGCGAAACCCCUCUGACCUCUCAACAACUGAGCUCUACCCAUCGUACGGUUGAUUUAUUUAUUUUUAUUUUUUUUUUUGGGAAAAAAAUGCAUUUAAUGAUCCUGAUAGGGGUGCUGGUGUCAAGUAUUGCCAUGCUGCAAGUGCUACUAUGCAACUGAAUCAUCUACUGUGAAUCCCAGUAAUUUCUACAACUAUAUAGUAGGUGAAGGAGGUUGAGUGCUUACUGCUCAGGAUUCAUGUUUGCUCUCGAUUCUUGGCCAUCUGACUUGAAAGGAACUGGAGAUAGCGAAAGAGGUAAUCAGGCAAUCGAUUAGAAGUUGGAACACAUGGUACCUCUGGACCGAGCUCGACUUUUGAUGGUUUCGAAUCCUGUUUUGGUCUUCAAAGUAGCCUCUUCUUUUAUCUCUUCAGUUUUGAUCCUUUUGGUCGUCUGAGUUCAAGAUUGAACUCUGGUUUCCUGGUUUGGUGGAUGUUUGUUUCCUAAGUUUCGCCGUUCUAGUGUUUAGUUUAAGCUGUGAAAGAGCACGUAUAGUUUGAGUUCAAAGUCAUGUUUAAUUUUGAAUGUUAAAUAUCAUGUUUAUUCUUUAAUCCCA